CGGCUUUCCUAUUUUGUUGGUUUCUAGGGGAGCCGUAAUGAUUAAUAGGGUCAGUCGGGGGCAUCAGUAUUCAAUUGUCAGAGGUGAAAUUCUUGGAUUUAUUGAAGACUAACUACUGCGAAAGCAUUUGCCAAGGAUGUUUUCAUUAAUCAGUGAACGAAAGUUAGGGGAUCGAAGACGAUCAGAUACCGUCGUAGUCUUAACCAUAAACUAUGCCGACUAGGGAUCGGGCGAUGUUACUAUCUUGACUCGCCCGGCACCUUACGAGAAAUCAAAGUUUUUGGGUUCUGGGGGGAGUAUGGUCGCAAGGCUGAAACUUAAAGAAAUUGACGGAAGGGCACCACAAGGCGUGGAACCUGCGGCUUAAUUUGACUCAACACGGGGAAACUCACCAGGUCCAGAUACAAGUAGGAUUGACAGAUWGAGAGCUCUUUCUUGAUUUUGUAGUUGGUGGUGCAUGGCCGUUCUUAGUUGGUGGAGUGAUUUGUCUGCUUAAUUGCGAUAACGAACGAGACCUUAACCUGCUAAAUAGCCCGGCUCGCUUUGGCGGGUCGCCGGCUUCUUAGAGGGACUAUCGGCUCAAGCCGAUGGAAGUUUGAGGCAAUAACAGGUCUGUGAUGCCCUUAGAUGUUCUGGGCUGCACGCGCGUUACACUGACAGAGCCAUCGAGUUUUUUUCCUUGGCCCGGAAGGUCUGGGUAAUCUUGUUAAACUCUGUCGUGC
rnacentral:rRNA from 1 species